GGGCCGUUAGCUCAGCCUGGAAGAGCAGGGGCCUUUUAAGCCUUUGGCCGCAGGUUCGAAUCCUGCACGGCCCA
rnacentral:tRNA from 1 species